CACAUAUCAUUCAGGUUAAUCACACAUAAAUCACAUAUCAUGCAGGUUAAUCACAUAUAAACCACAUAUCAUUCAGGUUAAUCACACAUAAACCACAUAUCAUGCAAGUUAAUCACACAUAAACCACAUAUCAUUCAGGUUAAUCACACAUAAAUCACA